AGGGGUCUUAGCGUUUGCAAACUAGCUAAAAAUGAAAGCUUUACUCCCUUCCUCUUCGCAGAUUCCUCCAUGGCUAAUCCUCUAUUGCAGACGCCAUUUAUGCAUUUCUUCAACCUCAUCUUCACUAACAAUCCAACAACCAAAAACUCCUCCGCCUCCACCUCCAGACUCAACUACCAAUUCUCUUGAUACUGACCAUUCUUGUGGCAGACCCAAUUCGGAAGAUGUUAAGUUCACCAAGAAUCAUGUCGUUGAUGUUCUUCUCAGUCACAGAGAUGACCCUGACUCAGCUUAUAGGUACUUCCAAACUGCUAGACUCCAAAGGGGUUUUCUACAUUCUAAAUCUGACCCUUUCUUUGUUCUGCUUCACAUAUUAGUGAAUUCUGCAAUGCAUCAACAUAAAUCUCGACGUUUGCUUGAUUAUUACGCUUCUAGUGACUCCGGUCCGUCUGCUACUGUUGUUUUUAAUGGUCUAGUGAAGUGUGGUAAGACUUUUGAUUUUGGGUUAAAUCCCAAGAUUUUCAAUUUCUUGGUAAGUAGUUGUAUGAAAGCUAAUCGAUUGAAUGAUGCUAUUGAUUGUUUCAAUGCGAUGUUGGAACAUGAUAUAAUGUUGUGGAUACCAAUCAUGAACAGCCUUUUAAAGAAAUUGGUGAGGCAGGGCAUGGUUGGAGUAGCGGAAGAUUUGUAUACUGAUAUAGUGUCGAGAGGAACUCAUUAUGAUUGUGGGACUGUUCAUAUUUUGAUGGAGGCUUGUCUCAGAGAAGGGAAAAUGAAGGAGGCUGUGAAGCUUUUAGAGGAGACUAAGAUGAGUGGAAUUAAGUUUGAUGCAGGAUUAUAUAGCUGUGGGGUUUAUGUUGCUUGUAAGGAGCAGAAUCUAAGUUUAGCGUUGAAGUUGUUGGAGG
rnacentral:misc_RNA from 1 species